rnacentral:rRNA from 1 species
UACAGAGGCCACAAGCGUUAGGCGGAAUCACUGGGCUUAAAGCGUGUGUAGGCGGGGUGGUAAGUACCUUGUGAAAUCCCACGGCUUAACCGUGGAAUUGCUUGGUAUACUGCCGUUCUUGAGUCAUCUAGGGGCAGCCGGAACAGAUGGUGGAGCGGUGAAAUGCAUAGAUAUCAGGAGGAACACCGGUGGCGAAGGCGGGUCUCUGGGCCGUAACUGACGCUGAGGAGCGAAAGCGUGGGGAGCGAACAGG